rfam:Triticum urartu cultivar G1812 contig903998, whole genome shotgun sequence.
UAUGUACUCCCUCCGUUCCGAAUUACUUGUCUUAGAUUUGUCUAGAUACGGAGGUAUCUAGCACUAAAAUGAGUCUAGAUACAUCCGUAUAGACAAGUAAUUCGGAACGGAGGGAGUAGUAA